GCUCCUUGAGGCCAGGGAUCAGGUUUUCUCACUCUCCUAUACCCUCCAAACCACUUAGUAUAGUGCUGUGCACAGAGUAACUAAUCAAUAAAUACACCAUUAAAUGAUCAUUCCGUACAGUUCCCAGUUCGCGGUAGUAGACAUUUUAUGGAAAAGACUACUGAUCAUGGAACCAUCCCUGUUUUCUCCUGUGGGAAGAGGCAGGGGUCGAUCAAGAAAUUAUGGAUGGGGAGGGAGGAGAGUCACACAAUACUGAAGCAGGGCUUCUCCGUUUCAGCUAAAGGUAGCAAGAGUCACGGAAACUUCACGGAAAACCAGGACUCAUCCCUAAGCCGAUGCCGGUGACAACCUAACCUGUCUGCUCCUUAUCCGAUCUGCGGCUUGAGCGGUGGUGGAAUUGGGCUGACUCUCCUGGCCUCACCUCCCCUCAAUCCCUUUGCCUCCCACAUCUCUCUUGGCCCUAAUCUGUCCGAGAACCACGUUGGAAAGAUGAAUACCAGAAACCCACACUGUUCCCCAUUCAGGGAGGGACCCGCUGCCAAGCACAGCUGGACUAUCUCAUUCAUGGAAUCAACCAUUAAUACAAUAACAAAAUGCGGUA